GACAGAGGUGCCGAGCGUUAGGCGGAAUCACUGGGCUUAAAGCGUGUGUAGGCGGCCCGUUAAGUGUCCGAGUGAAAUCCCCCGGCUCAACCGGGGAACCGCCGGGCAUACUGGCGGGCUUGGGCCGCUCAGGGGCAGACGGAACAGGCGGUGGAGCGGUGAAAUGCGUAGAUAUCAGGAGGAACACCGGUGGCGAAGGCGGGUCUCUGGGCAACAACUGACGCUGAGGAGCGAAAGCGUGGGGAGCGAACAGG
rnacentral:rRNA from 1 species